UACGUAGGUGGCAAGCGUUGUCCGGAUUCAUUGGGCUUAAAGGGUGCGUAGGCGGCCCUGUAAGUCAGUGCUGAAAUAUCCCAGCUUAACUGGGAGGGUGGCAUUGAUACUGCGGGGCUAGAGUACAGAUGAGGUAGGCGGAAUUGACGGUGUAGCGGUGAAAUGCUUAGAUAUCGUCAAGAACACCUAUAGCGAAGGCAGCUUACUAGGCUGUAACUGACGCUGAGGCACGAAAGUGUGGGGAUCAAACAGG
rnacentral:rRNA from 1 species